rnacentral:rRNA from 1 species
CGCAGGCUGCAACCCGCCUGCGUGAAGUUGGAAUCGCUAGUAAUCGCGGAUCAGCAUGCCGCGGUGAAUACGUUCCCGGGCCUUGUACACACCGCCGUCACACCAUGAGAGUCGGGAACACCCGAAGUCCGUAGCCUAACAGCAAUGGGGGCGCGGCCGAAGGUGGGUUCGAUAAUUGGGGUGAAGUCGUAACAAGGUAAC